AGAGUUUGAUCCUGGCUCAGGACGAACGCUGGCGGCGUGCUUAACACAUGCAAGUCGAGCGGGGUUUAUCGGAUUAGCUUGCUAAACUGAUAAACCUAGCGGCGGACGGGUGAGUAACGCGUGAGCAAUCUGCCUCAUACAGGGGGAUAACAGGUGGAAACACCUGCUAAUACCGCAUAAGACUCCACUACCGCAUGGUAGAGAAGUCAAAGGGAUUACCGGUAUGAGAUGAGCUCGCGUCCCAUUAGCUAGUUGGUAGGGUAAAGGCCUACCAAGGCGACGAUGGGUAGCCGACCUGAGAGGGUGAUCGGCCACACUGGGACUGAGACACGGCCCAGACUCCUACGGGAGGCAGCAGUGGGGAAUAUUGCACAAUGGAGGGAACUCUGAUGCAGCAACGCCGCGUGAGUGAAGAAGGUUUUCGGAUCGUAAAACUCUGUCAUUGGGGAAGAAUAAAUGACGGUACCCAAUGAGGAAGCCCCGGCUAACUACGUGCCAGCAGCCGCGGUAAUAC
rnacentral:rRNA from 1 species